UGAAUACGAGACGCUAAGGCGUCGAAGUAGUGUAUGUCAUACUUCCAAGAAAAGCUUGCACUGUCAUAGAUAAAAAACGCCUGUACCAUAACCGACACAGGUGGGUAGGUAGAGUAUACUAAGGGGCGCGAGAUAACUCUCUCUAAGGAACUCGGCAAAAUAACUCCGUAACUUCGGGAGAAGGAGUGCCUUAUUCGUAAGGUUGCAAUAACAAGAUCCAAGCAACUGUUUAUCAAAAACACAGGUCUCCGCUAAGUCGUAAGACGAUGUAUGGGGGCUGACGCCUGCCCAGUGCCAGAAGGUUAAAGAAGUUGGUUAGCAAUUGCGAAGCUGAUAACUGAAGCCCUGGUGAACGGCGGCCGUAACUAUAACGGUCCUAAGGUAGCGAAAUUCCUUGUCGGGUAAGUUCCGACCCGCACGAAAGGCGUAAUGAUUUGGAUACUGUCUCGGAGAGGGGCUCGGUGAAAUAGACUUGUCUGUGAAGAUGCGGACUACCUGCACCAGGACAGAAAGACCCUAUGAAGCUUUACUGUAACUUGAAAUUGAAAUUGGACUUUAUUCGCGCAGUAUAGGUGGGAGGCGUUGAUUAUAAUCUUGUGGGAUUAUUGGAGCCAUCAGUGAGAUUCCACUCUUGUAAUGUUAGAUUUCUAACUUUGAAUCAUUAUCUGGUCAAAGAACAGUUUCAGGCGGGCAGUUUGACUGGGGCGGUCGCCUCCUAAACGGUAACGGAGGCGUACAAAGGUUUCCUCUGAACGGUUAGAAAUCGUAUCUAGAGUGUAAAGGCAUAAGGAAGCUUGACUGUGAGACCUACAAGUCGAGCAGGGACGAAAGUCGGUCUUAGUGAUCUGACGGUACUGAGUGGAAAGGCCGUCACUCAACGGAUAAAAGUUACUCUAAGGAUAACAGGCUGAUCCCCCCCAAGAGUUCACAUCGACGGGGAGGUUUGGCACCUCGAUGUCGGCUCAUCGCAUCCUGGGGCGGUAGUACGUCCCAAGGGUUGGGCUGUUCGCCCAUGAAAGCGGUACGCGAGCUGGGUUCAGAACGUCGUGAGACAGUUCGGUCCAUAUCCGGUGUAGGCGUUAGAAUAUUGAGAGGAGCCUUCUUUAGUACGAGAGGACCGAGAAGGACAUACCUCUGGUGUACCAGUUAUCGUGCCAACGGUAAACGCUGGGUAGCUAUGUAUGGAGUGGAUAACCGCUGAAAGCAUCUAAGUGGGAAGCCCACCUCAAGAUAAGUAUUCUCA
rnacentral:rRNA from 1 species